rnacentral:sRNA from 1 species
UUUUUUUCUUUGUUUCUGCUUUAUUUGACUGAAUUCGAUUUCUCUCAUACAUCUCCUUUUUUCCAUAGGAUUAUUCUUUAAUACAAUCAAUGCCUAUGAUUCUCCGUCUCACAAACACUCAAGGAACAACGACAAAUUUUGGCUUCUCAUCUAAACAGUUGCCUUAAAACAAGGGUGAGUUUAAUAUCUUAAUCGAAGCUCAAGUGUUUUUUUAAUGGUAAAUUAAUUCUCAUACUUUUUACUAUUCUUCUUUCAUCUCUUAUUUUACUUCUUUAUAUCUGCAAUUUCUUUUUUGUAUUAAACCGCAAUUGUAUUUUCACGCAAGAUUUUUGUAUU